rnacentral:lncRNA from 1 species
GCUAUGUAUGUUGGCUUCAGUAGGUUUAGGUUCGCUGUUUGGAGUAGGAUGCACCUAGAUGAAAUCUAUCGAUCUUGGUAAAAAAGGAGAAGUCCUAUGCAAUCUGCGAGACUGAGUUCAGAAAGUCUUUGGCCAAAGUAAGUGUGAAUACUGGAAAAGAGUUUUUACGGGAUUCACAAAUGAAUCCGAGUCGAAUCAAUCUAACAUAUGACUGACGAUGGGGUCUGACGACUUCUCCAUGACCUCUGUCAAGUUGGAGCUCACGAUAGAAGGACUGAAUCAUACGAUAACUAUACCUAGGGGUUUGUACUUUCGUUCUACUAGAUUGCCACUACAUACUGCUAGAUGUUACUAAUGGAUUGUGAGACUC